GCUAAGACUGAUAAAAGCAAGC
rnacentral:miRNA from 1 species